rnacentral:rRNA from 1 species
GACGAACGCUGGCGGCGCGCCUAACACAUGCAAGUCGAACGGAGCGUUGCGAGCUGAUCCCUUCGGGGUGAAGCAUGCAAUUGCUUAGUGGCGAACGGGUGAGUAACACGUGAGUAACCUACCUCCGAGCGGGGGACAACAUUUGGAAACAGAUGCUAAUACCGCAUAAGACCACAGCCGGGCAUCCGGCAGGGCCAAAGGAUUUAUCCACUUGGAGAUGGACUCGCGACUGAUUAGCUAGAUGGUGAGGUAACGGCCCACCAUGGCGACGAUCAGUAGCCGGACUGAGAGGUUGAACGGCCACAUUGGGACUGAGACACGGCCCAGACUCCUACGGGAGCAGCAGUGAGGAAUAUUGCACAAUGGGGAAACCCUGAUGCAGCGACGCCGCGUGGAGGAAGAAGGUUUCGGAUUGUAAAC